AGGGAAGCGAGAUGGCGACAUGGAGCAAAUCCCAAAAAUAACGUCCCAGUUCGGAUUGCAGCCUGCAACUCGGCUGCAUGAAGCUGGAAUCGCUAGUAAUCGCGGAUCAGAAUGCCGCGGUGAAUACGUUCCCGGGUCUUGUACACACCGCCCGUCACACCAUGGGAGUAGGUAAUGCCCGAAGUCGGUGACCUAACCGGAAGGAAGGAGCCGCCGAAGGCAGGACUUAUAACUGGGGUGAAGUCGUAACAAGGUAGC
rnacentral:rRNA from 1 species